GAUCACUCGGUCAGAGUCCAUCCUGAGGCCCUGAUGUGGAGGUAGCCACCAUUUGUGAGCAUGCCCCUUCUCCCGAUGACCACUGGGUGUUCUGGUGAACCGUGAACUGGACCUGCACUGAAGGUGGCUGUGAGGAUCCCCUGGGGUGCAGCUUCACCCCCCUCAUCAGCUGAGAAGGCGUUCUGUCAGGUUCAUGCAGCAUACCCACAACAGGCCGGGGCAAGUGGUGCCCAACAUGGGGCCUGACUACAAGAGAGCUCAUUGGACAAGUUGGGGGAACGCUCUCCAAGGACGAGUCCACAAGGAAAAUGAGCAUUUUUAAGUUGUCAGAAUAUCAUCUAUAGUCCAGCCAGAACUAAAAAU